UCAUUUAUUUGAUCCAAAAUACAGCAAAAACAGUAAUAUUGUGUAAUAUUUUUACAAUUUUAAAUAACUGUUUUCUAUUUGAAUAUAUUUUAAAAUGUAAUUUAUUUUUGUGAUCAAAGCUGAAUUUUCAGCAUCAUUACUCCAGUUCAGUACUCUUCAGUGUCACGUGAUCCUUCAGAAAUGCUUUUCACUGCAACUGUACUUUUCACACUAUUUUUAUUUAUUUUUUUCAUUGCUGGCUUAUUUUAGGGAAAGUGUAGUGAAUAAGAAACCUUCAAGAGACCAACAUCCCUGGUCCACCACAGUAUCAAAUUUUUGCCAGGGCAACAGCGGGUCAAAUUGCUCCUGGGCCUCAAUCAUCUUCAUCAUCAUUUACUGAUCAUCUUCCUUUGGUCAUUUUCCAGCAUGAUCUUUCCAGAACCUGAUCCCCAACUAUUUUACAACAGAGUAAACCAUAUUAUUAUAGGAUUAAUGAUGCAA
ensembl:lncRNA